UACGUAGGGUGCGAGCGUUAAUCGGAAUUACUGGGCGUAAAGCGUGCGCAGGCGGUUCGUUAUGUCCGAUGUGAAAGCCCCGAGCUCAACUUGGGAAUGGCAUUGGAAACUGGCGGGCUGGAGUGUGGCAGAGGGGGGUGGAAUUCCGCGUGUAGCAGUGAAAUGCGUAGAGAUGCGGAGGAACACCGAUGGCGAAGGCAGCCCCCUGGGCUAACACUGACGCUCAGGCACGAAAGCGUGGGGAGCAAACAGG
rnacentral:rRNA from 1 species